rnacentral:rRNA from 1 species
AUUGAACGCUGGCGGCAGGCCUAACACAUGCAAGUCGAACGGUAGCACGGAGAGCUUGCUCUCGGGUGACGAGUGGCGGACGGGUGAGUAAUGUCUGGGAAACUGCCCGAUGGAGGGGGAUAACUACUGGAAACGGUAGCUAAUACCGCAUAACGUCGCAAGACCAAAGUGGGGGACCUUCGGGCCUCACACCAUCGGAUGUGCCCAGAUGGGAUUAGCUAGUAGGUGGGGUAAUGGCUCACCUAGGCGACGAUCCCUAGCUGGUCUGAGAGGAUGACCAGCCACACUGGAACUGAGACACGGUCCAGACUCCUACGGGAGGCAGCAGUGGGGAAUAUUGCACAAUGGGCGCAAGCCUGAUGCAGCCAGGCCGCGUGUAUGAAGAAGGCCUUCGGGUUGUAAAGUACUUUCAGCGGGGAGGAAGGCGGUGGAGUUAAUAACUUCACCGAUUGACGUUACCCGCAGAAGAAGCACCGGCUAACUCCGUGCCAGCCGCCGCAGUAA